UUCAUUUUUAGUCGCUCCCUGCCUUUAGGCAAUGGUUUAUAAAAAAAAAUUGUUGCCAAAACCAGCUAAAACCAUUGCCAUAACCUAGGAGCGACUAAAAACAAUAAUUAAGAAAAAACAGAUUGGCAAGAUUCAUUCUUCUUCUUGCGUUUUGACAUAUGAACACUCUCUCCUCAAUCCUCCUUUGGAGGCUCGCCGGAAAUCGCCCAUGGUGGGGGUGAUGGCGGCAUUGACGGCGGUCUACGAUUGUCCACGGUGGCGGAAGUUCAUUGUUUGGCGUAGAUCUGAAAGGAGAUUUCAGAAACCCUAAGUUCUCCGAUGAUGAAAAUCGGAGAUUACCAUGACAAUGAGGCUUCGGUGACACCGAAAACAAACUUUCUGAGGCGCGGUUAAGUCGUGGACGGUGGAGGACAGCGACGGUGACGACGGAGCCUCUCCGACAACAGUCACCGCUUUUGAUUGCCCUCGUCUUUCAUGGUGAGGUCCUAUCUUUUCUCUUUUCUAUGAACCCUGUAGCCUUUGAAUCUUCUUUUCCUCUUUAUCUUUUCAAUUCUGAAGGGAUUGUGUGAUAUGGAAAAUGAUGAGGCAAAAUAAAGUUAGGGUUUCUUCUGUCUGAUAACUUGAUAGCUUGCUUUUGUUGUUUUUCGGAUUCAAAGAUUUGUCAAUAAUUUUCAGAUUUUUUUGGGUUUUUGUUGCUUGCUGAGGUUAGGGUUUGUAUGUAUGAACAGUGACCGAAUUUUGAAAAUUGUGCCUUGAAUCUUUUUAUAGUUCUGUGAACUAGGAUUUUCUGAUUCUGGACUUAGUGAUUUUGGAAACAGACUUGUGAAUUUUGAUUUGGGCUUUUCAAUGUAUUUCUUAACUUGUGAUUUAUUUGUGAAAUUCGGUUUGCUUAUCUUGGGCUGGAAACAUGAUUUGGACUUGUUAUUGUGAUGGCCAUUUUGUUGAGUUUGUACUUGCUGUAAAUUUCUUUUUGUACCUCUUUGUGAACCAAAAACCAAGUGCUUUUGUGAUUUGCAAUAGGUUUAGGCCCAUUACUUGAAAAUGCAAUUCUAAAUUUGUUGUGAAACGACUUGUUAGAGGCCUUGGAAUGGGUUUGUACAUGAUAGAAAAACCACCCUCUCCUUCAAGCAAACCCUAAUGAUGAUUUGAAAAUCUAUGAACAACUUUUCUUUGUUUUAUGUUCACAUUUUGAUUGAUUUGCUAACCGAUUUCCUCUUUCUUUGUUUCAUGAGUUACACAAUGGUGAGGCAAAGGGGAAACCGAAACCGUCCACAAAAUUUGGAGGAAUGCCUAACUUCAAUGUCCAUGAAGCAAUGAUGAAAGAGGCCAAGAAUCUAGAUUUGAAAAGAGUUUGGAAAGAAACAUGAAGUGUGAAGACUUAGGAAUCACAUGGAAUCUCAUAGGAACAUAGAGCUUAGAAAUCUCUUUGGUUUGUUCUUGUAAAAAAAAGAGUUGCCUUGUAAUUUAAACUUUGCACUUUAAAAUUUUUUUGCCAUGGUGUUUGUAAGAACAAGUUAACUCUUGAGUGAAAUUCCAUGGAACAAAUGAAAUUAUCCCAUCUUUACUCUUGUAUGAAA